rnacentral:rRNA from 1 species
GAUCAUGGCUCAGGAUGAACGCUAGCGACAGGCUUAACACAUGCAAGUCGAGGGGCAGCACGGUGUAGCAAUACACUGGUGGCGACCGGCGCACGGGUGGGUAACACGUGUGCAACCAACCCCGUACCGGGAGAUAACCCGCGGAAACGUGGACUAACAUCCCAUAAUACUGGAGGAUCGCAUGAUCUUUCAUUUAAAAUUCCGGUGGUACGGGACGGGCACGCGCGACAUUAGGUAGUUGGCGGGGUAACGGCCC